rnacentral:rRNA from 1 species
UACGGGGGGGGCAAGCGUUGUUCGGAAUUACUGGGCGUAAAGGGCUCGUAGGUGGCCAACUAAGUCAUACGUGAAAUCCCUCGGCUUAACCGGGGAACUGCGUCUGAUACUGGAUGGCUUGAAUUCGGGAGAGGGAUGCGGAAUUCCAGGUGUAGCGGUGAAAUGCGUAGAUAUCUGGAGGAACACCGGUGGCGAAGGCGGCAUCCUGGACCGAGAUUGACGCUGAUGCGCGAAAGCCAGGGGAGCAAACGGG